rnacentral:rRNA from 1 species
UACGGGGGGAGCAAGCGUUGUUCGGAUUUACUGGGCGUAAAGGGCGCGUAGGCGGCCACGACAAGUCACUUGUGAAAUCUCCGGGCUUAACUCGGAAAGGUCAAGUGAUACUGUCGGGCUAGAGUGCAGAAGGGGCAACUGGAAUUCUCGGUGUAGCAGUGAAAUGCGUAGAGAUCGAGAGGAACACCAGUGGCGAAGGCGAGUUCCUGGACAAGUCCUGACACUGAGGCACGAAAGCAGGGGGAGCAAACAGG